rnacentral:rRNA from 1 species
UACGUAGGGGGCAAGCGUUGUCCGGAAUCACUGGGCGUAAAGGGCGCGUAGGCGGGAUGGCAAGUCGGUCGUGAAAUCCCUCGGCUUAACCGGGGAACUGCGUGUGAUACUGGAUGGCUUGAGUUUGGGAGAGGGAUGCGGAAUUCCAGGUGUAGCGGUGAAAUGCGUAGAUAUCUGGAGGAACACCGGUGGCGAAGGCGGCAUCCUGGACCAAUACUGACGCUGAGGAGCGAAAGCCAGGGGAGCAAACGGG